UGUCUCCUUCUCUAGCGAUUCAAGAACUGCGCGAUUCCUCUUUAGAUCUAGAUCUGUGUUUGUUUCUUCUUUAGAUCUAUGAUUCCUCUUCAGAUCUGCGCAAUUAGCCAGCUUCACACCCACCUUGUAGCCAUGAUUUCUGGUAGAUCUGAGCCACAUCAUUUUGCUGUACUUUUCAAGUCUUCCUCUUUCCUGAAGUCAUCUUCAUCACUAUAGAUGAUGAAAUAUCUCCAUUUGUAACAUUGGCUGAGUACACAACUUUAGAUCUUCAUCACUGUCGACGAUGAAAUGUCUCCGGUUUUGACGUAAAAUAAGAAAAGAUGUGGGGGAUUUUAAGGCAAAAAGCCGGAGGAGUUACCGGAUUAUCCUCUCAGGGUUUGGGGAAUCAGAUGUUGAGGUUAAGGCAUGUAGCAUCAGCUAUGAGAAGUUUUGCCGUACUUUUCGAGUCUUGGCUUUCCUGAAGCCAUCUUCAUCACUGUCAACGAUGAAAUAUCUCCGUUUGUAACAUUGGCUGAGUACACAACUUUAGAGGAUUUUGUACAGGCUAUUACUCUUCCUCUUGCAAUCGAGACUUCUUGUGAAGGUCUAGAAUGGGCUAGCUUUGGUGAGUGUGACAGGUAUCACCUAUAGGGAAAUGGCACCUGGAGCUGAUAUCCUUUUUAUUAAAAAAAAAUUAUAGUCUGCUUCGCUUAUUGGAGAUUUCAAUAGCUGGAAUCCAAAUGCUGAUGUUAUGACCAAGAGUGAAAAAUGGAUCCUAUCGCAUUGACAUAUGGCUACUGUA